rnacentral:tRNA from 1 species
UCCCUGGUGGUCCAAUGGCUAAGACUCUGCCCUCCUGAUGCAGUGGGCCCGGGUUCGAUCCCUGGACAGGGAA